CGGUUAAAGAGCGGCGGACGGGUGAGUAACGCGUGGGUAACCUGCCCUGUACACACGGAUAACAUACCGAAAGGUAUGCUAAUACGAGAUAAAAUACUUUUAUCGCAUGGUAGAAGUAUCAAAGCUUUUGCGGUACAGGAUGGACCCGCGUCUGAUUAGCUAGUUGGUAAGGUAACGGCUUACCAAGGCGACGAUCAGUAGCCGACCUGAGAGGGUGAUCGGCCACAUUGGAACUGAGACACGGUCCAAACUCCUACGGGAGGCAGCAG
rnacentral:rRNA from 1 species